GAUGAACGCCGGCGGUGUGCCUAAUACAUGCAAGUCGUACGCACUGGCCCAACUGAUUGAUGGUGCUUGCACCUGAUUGACGAUGGAUCACCAGUGAGUGGCGGACGGGUGAGUAACACGUAGGUAACUUGCCCCGGAGCGGGGGAUAACAUUUGGAAACAGAUGCUAAUACCGCAUGACGCAUGACUGGGGCAUCCCGGACAUGCCAAAGAUUUUAUCGCUGAAAGAUGGCCUCGCGUCUGAUUAGCUAGUUGGUGAGGUAACGGCUCACCAAGGCGACGAUCAGUAGCCGGACUGAGAGGUUGACCGGCCACAUUGGGACUGAGAUACGGCCCAG
rnacentral:rRNA from 1 species